GUGCAGCAGGCGCGAAACCUUCACAAUGGGCGAAAGCCUGAUGAGGCUAUUUCGAGUGCCACCCGCUAAGGGUGACUUUUCCCCAGUCUAAACAGCUUGGGGAAUAAGGGGAGGGCAAGCCUGGUGUCAGCCGCCGCGGUAAUACCCGCUCCCCGAGUGGUCGGGACGGUUAUUUGGCCUAAAGCAUCCGUAGCCGGUCCUGUCCGUCUUCCGUUAAAUCUAACGGCCCAACCGCUAGGCUGCGGGAGAUACCGUAGGACUAGGAGACGGGAGAGGCGGACGGUACUCCAGGGGUAGGGGUAAAAUCCUCUGAUCCUUGGAAGACCACCAGCGGCGAAGGCGGUCCGCCAGAACGUGCUCGACGGUGAGGGAUGAAAGCUGGGGGAGCGAACCGGAUUAGAUACCCGCGUAGUCC
rnacentral:rRNA from 1 species